GCUCAGUGUUUUUAGGGCAUCGAGCACAAGCAUAAAAUGAAAAACACCAACUCUCCAGGACUUAAAGUAGUGCAGCAUAAAAUAUAGUUUUUAUCUGUAGACACAGUUUAACAUAAAAAAAAAAUAAGUAAGAAAAAUGGGUUAGAGAAUGGUUACCAUUAUGAUCAUUGCACUGUCCAUAGUCUACCAUAACAACAUCAGUCUCAAAAAGAAUGUUGUGAUCCACCUCAUGUGUUCUAUGCUACAUCUCAGCAAUCAGAACAUACCUAUAGCGCUUCAGAAGCACCCUGCACAUGGCAAUACUUGGUCAAGCAAAAGUCUCUGUGUCCCUCUGGCACGUAUGUCUACUUGCUAGCAUGCACCCUUUUUCCUCUUUAGGCCUGCCCCUCAUUGUCACCUCUUUGUGACCAGCUCACCCUGGUUCCAGAUCCAAUAUUGGGAGAUAUAAUACACAUUUAAUUUGUAGUGUUAGUAAUUUGUUGAAAUUCCACAGGGUAAAUAAUUACACUCCUAAUACACCUCUGAAUGGCAAAAGUCGGGGGGGUAUUGUGAGUCUGCUAAGGAUAGAAAGAGAGUCACAAAAUGGUGUACGAGAACGAUAUGCAGAAGACAGUAGAAAAGCUUCAUCACAAAUAUUAUUUUUCUUAUAUAUAUUUUUAUUUCUUUGCUGUUUUUAUUUAACCCCUUAAGGACCAAACUUCUGGAAUAAAAGGGAAUCAUGACAUGUCACGCAUGUCGUGUGUCCUUAAGGGGUUAAAACGUU